GUGUUGCCAGAGUAGACUCUGUAGAGUUCUUCCUUCUUCAAGUCACUGUAUUUAAUUCAAACACGAGCUGGUGCAUCCUGCAGGCAGAGCCUACAGCUUGAGCCAAUGUACUGGUUUCAGGAGAAGCAAGGGAGAAACUGUCUAUUUCAUCCCAGAGUGGGAGAAUGUCACCUGUGGCAUCACAUGCAGAAGAUUCCAGAUUCUGGAUUCUUUUGCGUUUGCUUUAGUUCUGCUAAAGUCUCCUGUGUAUGAUCCUCAGAAAGACAUAUGAGGGUUUUCCUCAGAACCUAAAUUCUAAACUGCCAGACUGUCUUCUGAAGUGGCUAUAAUAUUUACACUCCCAUCAGCAGUGUAGAAGGGGUCUCACUAUGUUGUCUGGAGUGCUGUGGUGGAGUGGAGUGGCUAUUCACAGAGCCUGUUCUGCUGGGACACAGAAUCACUUGCUCCAUCUCAUACAUUGAUGAUGAUUAAUUUGUAUGUGUACCUUCCAAAAAAGAUGGUUGUGUUUGAAUGGAGGCCUUCUGGACAGGAAAAUUGCAAAGUACAAUUAACAUUUGAGUCUGUCUGAGUCAUGAAGAAAUGGAGAUUACUGAAAAUAAUUCAUUUUGGUAUCUUCUUACAUCCUGAGAGACUAAUCUUUCCAAGUUCAUCUGAGGCUCCUCUUCUCCAUGACAACCUCAUCCAGGGAUUUCUUCCUGUCCUGGUGUUUUAUGACAUAAUCACAUCCUUCCUGAGAUAAUGAGCACACAAUUGCCUGGAUACCUGAAGGAAUGGAGACAGCGGCAGAAAACACUGCAGAGAGGUGGAAACAUCCGUUAAUAUUUUAAAAUCCCAUUACUGCUACCAACAAUAAUAAUGGAUGCAUAGAAAUAGAUCUGGAUUAGCUGAGCUUGAAACAGUCCAUCUCACACACACACAAAAGAAUUUCAGAUACAGUGAACCCACAUGUUGAAGCUUUCUAGUAUAAUAAAAAUUUCAACUGUUCUGUUGAAUCAUCUGCCUGAUUGGAGGCUACAGAAAAGAUGUCAUCUUAGGAGUGCUUGCUCUGAGUGAGGCUCAUCUUCAAAUCUGAAUGACCACAAGGAGAUUUGAUUAUACAUGUGAACACCUCAGAAGGCACAGCCCACCCAGAAGGCAGACAGGUCAGGCUGCUUUUUCUUCAUUGCUUGGAUUCAAUCCUCCGGGCGGCUCAGGCUCAAACAUAACUUAAGCAUGAUUAAACUUUAGAAGAAGCUGCCAGGAAGACUGUGAAAUCUUCAUGCCCAAGGAUCCCUAAAAUUAGGAGCAACAACCACUUGGCUCAGACGGUUUAUGGAGGCAAAGGUUUGGAUGGGAUUAGAGAUUUCUAAAUGUGAGUUCGUGUCCUCUGCCAGACCACCUUACUUCCACCAUUCCUCAGCAAAUCAAGAAAAACAGGAGAAAAGACAUGCCUUUCCAUAAGUUAAAUCUAUUCUGUUUUAAUUCUAUAUUAUAUCUGCUGUACAACUUCUUUUGUUUGUAACACCAUAUUGUUGCUAGUAACUGGAAAUUAAUUUUCACAUGCCUCAGCUUAGAAAAAUAAAAAGCAGCCCUGCAUCAAUCCCAA
ensembl:lncRNA LINC00635 long intergenic non-protein coding RNA 635